UAACAUCUCAUUGAAUGAGAAACAGUAUCGCCGGUGCAGAAGAUUUGGAAGAUAUUUUAUGAUUCACUUCAUUGCUAAUUAACUGUUUUUAGCAGUAUGCGUUUAAAUAACUAACUCCGUAUUUUCCAAUGGUCUUACUUGAUUGUCUCCACUGGGAUCAGUAGGCUUAUGCUACUGUCUAUAUACUACAGAUUCUAACGACAUGAUAUCUUCACAGCCAAAAACGGGGAAGAUGAACGUGGCGACUUGAAGCCAGCCUUUAUCGCUGCGGGUGGAAACUAAAUCCUAGAAGGUGCUCGCAGGUUGAAGCAAAAGAAGUUUUCUUUUCUGUUACAAAGCUUCCCCAAUCUAAAUGGUUUGGGAGAAGAAGGUUUACUUGAUCAUAAAGGAAUUUUCUCUACCAGAUGAUAAGAAAAAGAAGAGAAAGAAGAAAAGCUUACAAGGAGUACAGAUAUUAAGGGUGGUUAAAAAGAUAAAGCACUGCAAGAAAUGAACGGCAAGAGAAGCAUUUUGAAGUG